AACGAACGCUGGCGGCAUGCCUAACACAUGCAAGUCGAACGGGCAUGGACCAAAGCUUGCUUUGGGACCCAGCUAGUGGCGCACGGGUGAGUAACGCGUGGGAACCUGCCUGAUAGUACGGAAUAGCCCUGGGAAACUGGGUUUAAUACCGUAUACGCUCUUCGGAGGAAAGAUUUAUCGCUAUCAGAUGGGCCCGCGUUAGAUUAGCUAGUUGGUGGGGUAAUGGCCUACCAAGGCGACGAUCUAUAGCUGGUCUGAGAGGAUGAUCAGCCACACUGGAACUGAGACACGGUCCAG
rnacentral:rRNA from 1 species